rnacentral:rRNA from 1 species
GGGCCCGCACAAGCGGUGGAGCAUGUGGUUUAAUUCGAUGAUACGCGAGGAACCUUACCAGGGCUUAAAUGUAAGUUGCAUUAGUUAGAGAUAGCUAUUUCUUCGGACCACUUACAAGGUGCUGCAUGGUUGUCGUCAGCUCGUGCCGUGAGGUGUCAGGUUAAGUCCUAUAACGAGCGCAACCCCUGUUGUUAGUUGCCAGCGAGUCAUGUCGGGAACUCUAACAAGACUGCCGGUGCAAACCGUGAGGAAGGUGGGGAUGACGUCAAAUCAUCACGGCCCUUACGUCCUGGGCUACACACGUGCUACAAUGGUCGGUACAGAGAGCAGCCACUACGCGAGUAGGAGCGAAUCUCAUAAAGCUGUUCUCAGUCCGGAUUGGAGUCUGCAACUCGACUCCAUGAAGUAGGAAUC